GGUGCUAUGGCUUAGUUGGUUAAAGCACCUGUCUAAUAAACAGGAGAUCCUGGGUUUGAAUCCCAGCAGUGCCU
rnacentral:tRNA from 1 species